GGGGAAUUUUGGACAAUGGGCGCAAGCCUGAUCCAGCCAUGCCGCGUGAGUGAAGAAGGCCUUCGGGUUGUAAAGCUCUUUCGGCCGGGAAGAAAUCGCAUGGGCUAAUACCCUGUGUGGAUGACGGUACCGGAAUAAGAAGCACCGGCUAACUACGUGCCAGCAGCCGCGGUAAUACGUAGGGUGCGAGCGUUAAUCGGAAUUACUGGGCGUAAAGCGUGCGCAGGCGGUUUUUUAAGAUAGGCGUGAAAUCCCCGGGCUCAACCUGGGAACUGCGCUUAUGACUGGAAGACUAGAGUAUGGCAGAGGGGGGUGGAAUUCCACGUGUAGCAGUGAAAUGCGUAGAGAUGUGGAGGAACACCGAUGGCGAAGGCAGCCCCCUGGGCCAAUACUGACGCUCAUGCACGAAAGCGUGGGGAGCAAAC
rnacentral:rRNA from 1 species